rnacentral:rRNA from 1 species
UACGGGGGGGGCAAGCGUUGUUCGGAAUUACUGGGCGUAAAGGGCUCGUAGGCGGCCAACUAAGUCAGACGUGAAAUCCCUCGGCUUAACCGGGGAACUGCAUCUGAUACUGGAUGGCUUGAGUUCGGGAGAGGGAUGCGGAAUUCCAGGUGUAGCGGUGAAAUGCGUAGAUAUCAAGCGGAACACCGGUGGCGAAGGCGGCCUUCUGGACAGUGACUGACGCUGAGACGCGAAAGCGUGGGGAGCAAACAGG